GGAGAUCCGGUCAACACUUUUACCGCGCGAAGAAAACGGCCAGGGGAGAACCCUACGAUCCGAUGCGAGAUCUCACCUUGAGCCGGCGGUUGAUGGUGGAGCGAGUGUAGUGCUCGAUGGUGGUCUUCAUGCGAAUCGCUGAGGAUCGCUGUUCGUUGACGCGCUUGUUGUGGAGGGCGGCGGUCGCGGCCUUGCGCGCCUGCGCGGCAGCGACGAGGAGUUCGCGCCUCGCGUCCUUCUGCGGGUCAAAGUCAAAAGUUUGGGUCAGAUUGCCGUGAGACGGGACGUGCGUCGCGUCGGAGAGCGGGGGUAUCCGGGCCGUGCGAAACGCGAUGAACGCCGCCACGCGGUCCUUCACGAUGAGAAUGCGUCGAAUUCAACGAAACCGGGCGCGAAGCACGCAUCGACGCCCGUCGCGGUCGACGCACGCGGCGGUGACAAACGCGCGGAGGGAAAAACCAAACGCAUCAUCUCACCUCCUCGGUGACGGCCUUGCGCUCCGGCUUCUCGCGAGCCUGGAGGCGCGCUGCGACGGAAGGGAGCGUUGCGCGGCGGUAGCCGGUGUGCACCGGCACCUUGAUGACGAUGGGGCACGCGGUCGUGGACAUGGUGGGUCGCGUGUCGGGAGUGG
rnacentral:lncRNA from 1 species